ACUCCUACGGGAGGCAGCAGUGGGGAAUUUUGCGCAAUGGGCGAAAGCCUGACGCAGCAACGCCGCGUGAGUGAUGAAGGCUUUCGGGUCGUAAAGCUCUGUCGAGGGGAAAGAAAUGUAUUGKGGCUAAUAUCCGCGAUACUUGACGGUACCCCUAAAGGAAGCACCGGCUAACUCCGUGCCAGCAGCCGCGGUAAUACGGGGGGUGCAAGCGUUGUUCGGAAUUAUUGGGCGUAAAGCGCGUGUAGGCGGUUUGUUAAGUCUGAUGUGAAAGCCCUGGGCUCAACCCAGGAAGUGCAUUGGAUACUGGCAGACUUGAAUACGGGAGAGGGUAGUGGAAUUCAUGGUGUAGGAGUGAAAUCCGUAGAUAUCAGGAGGAACACCGGUGGCGAAGGCGGCUGCCUGGACCGAUAUUGACGCUGAGACGCGAAAGCGUGGGUAGCAAACAGGAUUAGAUACCCUGGUAGUCCACGCCGUAAACGAUGAGAACUAGGUGUUGCGGGUAUUGACCCCUGCAGUGCCGCAGCUAACGCAUUAAGUUCUCCGCCUGGGAAGUACGGUCGCAAGACUAAAACUCAAAGGAAUUGACGG
rnacentral:rRNA from 1 species